AAACUGAAGAGUUUGAUCCUGGCUCAGAUUGAACGCUGGCGGCAUGCCUUACACAUGCAAGUCGAACGGCAGCACGGGUGCUUGCACCUGGUGGCGAGUGGCGAACGGGUGAGUAAUACAUCGGAACAUGUCCUGUAGUGGGGGAUAGCCCGGCGAAAGCCGGAUUAAUACCGCAUACGAUCUACGGAUGAAAGCGGGGGACCUUCGGGCCUCGCGCUAUAGGGUUGGCCGAUGGCUGAUUAGCUAGUUGGUGGGGUAAAGGCCUACCAAGGCGACGAUCAGUAGCUGGUCUGAGAGGACGACCAGCCACACUGGGACUGAGACACGGCCCAGACUCCUACGGGAGGCAGCAGUGGGGAAUUUUGGACAAUGGGCGAAAGCCUGAUCCAGCAAUGCCGCGUGUGUGAAGAAGGCCUUCGGGUUGUAAAGCACUUUUGUCCGGAAAGAAAUCCUUGGCUCUAAUACAGUCGGGGGAUGACGGUACCGGAAGAAUAAGCACCGGCUAACUACGUGCCAGCAGCCGCGGUAAUACGUAGGGUGCGAGCGUUAAUCGGAAUUACUGGGCGUAAAGCGUGCGCAGGCGGUUUGCUAAGACCGAUGUGAAAUCCCCGGGCUCAACCUGGGAACUGCAUUGGUGACUGGCAGGCUAGAGUAUGGCAGAGGGGGGUAGAAUUCCACGUGUAGCAGUGAAAUGCGUAGAGAUGUGGAGGAAUACCGAUGGCGAAGGCAGCCCCCUGGGCCAAUACUGACGCUCAUGCACGAAAGCGUGGGAGCAAACAGGAUUAGAUACCCUGGUAGUCCACGCCCUAAACGAUGUCAACUAGUUGUUGGGGAUUCAUUUCCUUAGUAACGUAGCUAACGCGUGAAGUUGACCGCCUGGGGAGUACGGUCGCAAGAUUAAAACUCAAAGGAAUUGACGGGGACCCGCACAAGCGGUGGAUGAUGUGGAUUAAUUCGAUGCAACGCGAAAAACCUUACCUACCCUUGACAUGGUCGGAAUCCCGCUGAGAGGUGGGAGUGCUCGAAAGAGAACCGGCGCACAGGUGCUGCAUGGCUGUCGUCAGCUCGUGUCGUGAGAUGUUGGGUUAAGUCCCGCAACGAGCGCAACCCUUGUCCUUAGUUGCUACGCAAGAGCACUCUAAGGAGACUGCCGGUGACAAACCGGAGGAAGGUGGGGAUGACGUCAAGUCCUCAUGGCCCUUAUGGGUAGGGCUUCACACGUCAUACAAUGGUCGGAACAGAGGGUUGCCAACCCGCGAGGGGGAGCUAAUCCCAGAAAACCGAUCGUAGUCCGGAUUGCACUCUGCAACUCGAGUGCAUGAAGCUGGAAUCGCUAGUAAUCGCGGAUCAGCAUGCCGCGGUGAAUACGUUCCCGGGUCUUGUACACACCGCCCGUCACACCAUGGGAGUGGGUUUUACCAGAAGUGGCUAGUCUAACCGCAAGGAGGACGGUCACCACGGUAGGAUUCAUGACUGGGGUGAAGUCGUAACAAGGUAGCCGUAUCGGAAGGUGCGGCUGGAUCACCUCCUUU
rnacentral:rRNA from 1 species